rnacentral:lncRNA from 1 species
CCAGAAUCACCAAUCGCAGACGAGCAGGUCACCGGGAUCAGCCGAUCACAGACGAGUGAGUCACCAGAAUCACCUGAUCACAGACGAGCGAGUCGCCGGGAUCGGCCAAUGCCGAUCACAGAGGAGCGAGUCACCGGAAUCGGCCGAUCACAGACGAGCAGUCACCGGAAUCGGCCGAUCACAGACGAGCAGUCACCGGGAUCGGCCGAUCACAGACGAGCGAGUUGCCGGAAUCACCUGAUCACAGACGAGCAGUCACCGGGAUCGCCCAAUCACAGACGAGCAGUCACCGGGAUCACCCGAUCACAGAUGAGCGAGUCGCCGGAAUCGGCCAAUCACAGACGAGCGAGUCGCCGGGAUCAGCCGAUCACAGCCCAUCACAAUUCCAAAGCCCUUGUGUUGAAGAGGCCGAGGACGAGCGGUCACCGAACAGGGCGGCUCCCCAGGUCCUGAAGCCUGAGACCUGAAGGACCCUGGCACCCUUACGCCCUCGGACUGCUGCCCUCCUCAGCCUCCCUGGCCUCAGCGCACCUCCACCCUGGGCCGCGUCUCCUGGUCCAAGGCUGCGUUUCUCCUUCUUCUGUCCAUGGGCAGCCCGGUCCCCACCGUCACAGCCAAGUCACACAGAACGAACAUGACUCCAGAGGACCUCGCCCUGGAGCUGAGCCUGGCGCCGGGUCAGGACGGAGGGACAGGCGGGUUAGUCCGCAGGUCCCCACACGCGCGGCAGGCACAGAGGCUCGCCAGGCCUUGCUGCGGCCUGUGGGGACGAGGGACACUGAGGAGAGAGGCACCAGGACCCCGACUCCUGGUCACUGGUUGGCCUCAGACAAGAAUGGCCUCAAGAACCAAGCGCAUCGGGAGCACACCAGAAACCGGCCCUGAGCACGAGAAACGUCUCCACCCAGCCCGGGCACCACCCGACCCCACAGGGAACAGGCCCUGUCACCGACGGGGCACUUCGUCCACGCGGCCAGCACCGACUCACCACAGCCCUUCCCAGACCUGGCUGGAGUGACCGGAGCGGCGGGGCUCGUGGCUCCCAUCGUGGCCCCUGGAGGUGAGCUCCUUCGCAGAAGCGGACCCUUCACUCUGAGGGAAGUCGUGGCCUGCAUUCCGAACCCUAGGACGCCCCUGUGGGUUUCGUGAAUGAGAUCGAGGCUGCUGUGGCACCCAGCCCGUCCUAGCCUGGAGCACCGUGGGCUCCUGGAGGGAGAGGCCCCACACCCCCGCUCUCCCUCCGCACUUCCAGGGUUGGUGCCCACGAGUCAGAGGCACGGCCUCCCCAGUGUCCCGCCCUCCCUCAACGGCCCCCAGGCUUUCCUCAGACAUGCGGGAGCCAGGAGAGCACCCUUCUCCACUCGGCUCCAAAGCGAAUCUUUGAAAACACCCGCUCUGCUCCCGUUUCUGUCACCUAGCCAGGAGGGGUAGCAAAAAUUAAGUCACGAGGGCAUAGUGGUCACCAUUGUCAGUUACAGUUUGUCUGUGGAAUCUGUGAUUGCAUCUGUGCGCCGCCUCCAAACACAGAACAUUGUUUGGACAGCAGCCCCACUGCACGUAACAGACCCGUGCAUCUUCCUCAGUCAGUUUCUGAAUAUUGUGAAUUCAGGCAGGUGUGUGUUCUCUUCUGCAUGUUUUUAUGCACUGCCAAUUAGCUUCUACUAACCAUGGUUCAACAGAAAA